rnacentral:rRNA from 1 species
AGCAGCCGCGGUAACUCCAGCUCCAAUAGCGUAUAUUAAAGUUGUUGCAGUUAAAAAGCUCGUAGUUGAAUUUCGGGAUUCUACCGUUGGUCGGGCAAUUGUCUGUACUGGCGUGUGGAAUUUCUACCUUCUGGGGAACCAUCAUGUUAUUAAUUUAGCGUGGUGGGAAACCAGGACCUUUACCUUGAAAAAAAUUAGAGUGUUCAAAGCAGGCUUACGUCUGAAUACAUUAGCAUGGAAUAAUAAAAUAGGACGGUGGUCCUGUUUUGUUGGUUUCUGAAUCACCGUAAUGAUUAAUAGGGAUAGUUGGGGGCAUUAGUAUUCAAUUGUCAGAGGUGAAAUUCUUGGAUUUAUUGAAGACUAAACUUCUGCGAAAGCAUUUGCCAAGGAUGUUUCAUUAAUCAAGAACGAAAGUUAGGGGAUCGAAGACGAUCAGAUACCGUCGUAGUCUUAACCAUAAACUAUGCCGACUACGGAAUCAGACGAUGUUAAUUUUUAAUGUACUCG